rnacentral:rRNA from 1 species
UAUGUGAUCGUCUCUCGCAUAUCAAUAAGCGGAGGAAAAGAAACUAACAAGGAUUCCCCUAGUAACGGCGAGUGAAGCGGGAAGAGCUCAAAUUUGAAAUCUUAAAGGGUUUCCCUUUACGAAUUGUAGUUUAAAGAAGUGUUUUCUGUUGAGGUUUUGGUAAAAGUUCUUUGGAAUAGGACAUCAUAGAGGGUGAGAAUCCCGUAUUUGACCUUUACUUUCAACUUUGUGAUACACUUUCAAAGAGUCGGAUUGUUUGGGAAUGCAGUCCAAAAUGGGUGGUAAAUUUCAUCUAAAGCUAAAUAUUGGCGAGAGACCGAUAGCGAACAAGUACCGUGAGGGAAAGAUGAAAAGAACUUUGAAAAGAGAGUUAAACAGUACGUGAAAUUGUCAAAAGGGAAGCGUUUGACACCAGUGUUGUUUUUCUGAAAAUCAAUUAAAGAACUGUUUAUGCUAAGCUGUUUAGACUUUAUCAGCUAAUCUGUUUAGUUUUGAGCCUUUCUUUAAUGCACUUUUCAGUUAACAAGUCAACAUCAAUUUCUUUUGCUGUAAAAAAGCUUGAGGAAGGUGGCUUGAGAUUCGUCUUAAGUGUUUAUAGCCUCUUGCCUAUGCAGUCGGAGAGAUUGAGGUCUGCAGCGUAGAUCCUUCGGGGCUAAAUGCAUUUGUGCUAAGUUAUAGCAUUUUAUAGACAACUUGUUGACUAUGAUUUGUCUUGUAGCUUACUCGCUUAUGUUAUUUUACCUACGCUUAGGAUGUUGAGUAGCGACAUACGCAC